GAGACGGAUCUCUUUGAGGCCCGUUAUCGGAAUGAGAACAAUUCAAAUCCUUUAACGAGGAUCUAGCGGAGGGCAAGUCUGGUGCCAGCAGCCGCGGUAAUUCCAGCUCCGCAGGUGUAUAUCUAUGCUGCUGCGGUUAAAAAGCUCGUAGUUGGAUCUGCGUGCUCGGAACCGGUUGGCUCACUGAGUCCAAACUGGUCUCCGGCGCUUUAUCGGCUGGUUUUCCCUUGAUGCUCUUAACCGGGUGUCUCGGGUGGCUAGCGCGUUUACUUUGAAAAAAUUAGAGUGCUCAAUACAGGCGCAAAGCCUUGAAUAGUGGUGCAUGGAAUAAUAGAAUAGGACCUCGGUUCUAUUUUGUUGGUUUUCGGAACGCGAGGUAAUGAUUAAGAGGGACAGACGGGGGCAUUCGUAUUGCGACGUUAGAGGUGAAAUUCUUGGAUCGUCGCAAGACGGACGACUGCCAAAGCUUUUGCCAA
rnacentral:rRNA from 1 species